rnacentral:rRNA from 1 species
UACGUAGGUGGCAAGCGUUAUCCGGAAUUAUUGGGCGUAAAGAGCGCGCAGGUGGUUGAUUAAGUCUGAUGUGAAAGCCCACGGCUUAACCGUGGAGGGUCAUUGGAAACUGGUCGACUUGAGUGCAGAAGAGGGAAGUGGAAUUCCAUGUGUAGCGGUGAAAUGCGUAGAGGUAUGGAGGAACACCAGUGGCGAAGGCGGCUUCCUGGUCUGUAACUGACACUGAGGCGCGAAAGCGUGGGGAGCAAACAGGAUUAGAUACCCCGUA